UUCAAGUCCUCCCAGGCCCACCAAUUUAGGAUUGCUUAACCCACUAAAGACCCUCUCUAUAAGAAAAAUAUCUAUCGUUAGAGAAAGCUCUUUAUAGUCUGGCUCUUUAUAGUCUUUUAUUGUCAAUAAAAUGUUCGGUGAAAUAUCAAAUAUGUUUUGCGAAAAUACUGACAAUAUAAAACUUUUGACAAUAUAAAACUACUGACAGACUGUCGCUUUAAGGGUUUUGAAAUGUUUUCUUUUAGGGGCCGUAGCUCAG
rnacentral:misc_RNA from 1 species